UAUUUUAUUUUGAUUGUAAGAAAGCGACGGUAUAUAGCAAUGCAAUUUUAUAUAAAUUUAUAUAAAAAAAUAAUCUUUUAAUUUCCAUCUUGGCUUUUUAUGGCUCUUUGUGAAAAUGCGAUUUAACAUGGUUAGGCAUAAUCACUUCACCGCUCGAGUUGCAAGUACCCAAUUGUAGAAAAUCACAAAACACGACAUUUGAAAAGUUUUCUAAAGGUGUCUAAUAAAUUAAAAUUGUGUUGAAAAAUCAGUAAAAUUACAUAAAAUAUCCACAAUUAAAAAUAAUUUUAUUAAAAGAUUAAUUUUAUUUAAAAAUAAUUUUAUUAAUUUUAUUUAAUUUUAUUAUUAUAUUAAUUACGACCCAAAAAAGUUUACAAUCACAACCAACAAAAAUUUGGUGAGUGUUCCUACCACGUCACUUAAGACUAUCAAGGUGGUUACUACGUAAAGUUCUAUCAAGGUGGUUACUACGUAAAGUUCUAUCAAGGUGGUUACUACGUAGAGUUCUAUCAAGGUGGUUACUACGUAAAGUUAUUCCAUUAUAAUGAGAGGUAAAAAAAUAAAUUUUGAGGGUUUUUUGCAGCGAAAAAGAAUUAACAAAUAAAUAAAAAAAAUAAAAAUAAUAAUAAGCGCUUUUAUUUGUAUAUUUCUGCGUUGUCAUUGCUUUUAUGUAACGCUAAAUGUUUUAAUGUUUUUGCUAUUUGUUAUCUUUUCUAAGAACUUUCAUUAUGUUUAUUGAAAAUAAAAAAAAUUCUUUAUA